ensembl:lncRNA
AGCAAUGAGAGGGCGGUUUGGGUUUGAGUUCCUGCCAAACUUGAGCCUCCACACACAGCUCCCCAAGCAGCAGCUGCUCAAACUGAUUGCAGCACAAAACAGCUGACUUUGAACUUCCAGACCUUUUCGUCAACACUGGAACAGCUGCGGCUGAAAAGAAUGAAAGCGGCAGGAGCUGUGAUGGUUCGGACUGUCGCCUCGCAGCAAGGAGUUCCUUAACCACCCAGCGGCCUUUCUGUGUGGAGUCUGCAUGUUCUCCCCGUGUCGGCGUGGUUUCUCUGCGGGUACCCCGACUUCCUUCCACAGUCUAAAGACAUGCUGCGGGUGUCGUGUUAAUGAGCCGUAGGUGUUUGUCUGAGGAGGAGCCUGAACACACACCUUUACACCUCUGUGUGCGCAUCCACUUCUUUCAACUGCUAAUCUCUUCUACUGCUGUUGGGUUCAAGCCUCAGUCUGGACUAAAAAGUCUUUUUAGCACGGACACAGUUUCAGGUGUAUCAGGUGUUGUUAGGGCAGCUUGAGAGAGUAAGAGAUGGGAGGAAGAAAUAAGAGACGGAGAAAAAGAGGAAAAAUUGAUCAAGGAAAAGAAAAGGGAGGGAUGAGAGAGACCAAAGAGAGGGAGGUGAGAGAAGUGUAAAGAGAGUGCAGAUGAUGUGAGGGAUGGAAAAGGGGGCGAGCUAAAUGGAGACCGAGAAUGUAAUUUUGGAUCUAGGCAAAAGAAAGAGAUGAGAAGAGAAGAGUAGAAGCGGAGGAACGUAAAAUCAAAGAAGAGGGAGCGAUGAGACGGAAACACAACGAAGAAGAAAAGAGAGAGAAUGAGAAUAGAGGAGAAAGUCAUUGAUCUUGAAAAUAAAAUGAGGAACGGUGAGGAAAAGGAAAGUCGAUGGAGAGAUAACGGUUUAAUGGGUGAGAAAGAAAGGAGACAGAGUGAGAGAGAGAGAUGUUAUCGACCAUAUGAAAGUGCUGUAAUGUCGCCCCCCCCACACACACACACACACACACACAUUUUAUUUUCCCUCUAAUUUGAUUAAAACUCCUCCUCCCCGUCUGCAGGUUGUCAGCCGUGUCACUCAACAUACCGGCUCUGUUGCGUUACACGGCACAUCUGUUCAUACCAGGAUACAUUUUUCCAUUUGUGAAACUAAGUUCUGGCGAUAUUGGAUUUUCCCCUACUGAUGAUGUUUCUUUUGGAAAAACACUGAAGAAUAAAUAUAUAUAUAUAUAUAUAUAUAU